AAGAGUAUAAUUUCAGGCAUCAAUUCUGUAGUUCCUUACUAGAGAAGUUUCUCUCAAUGUGUACAGCACUGGAAACCAUGAGGAGGUGGCAGGACAGCAUUCUCUGCUGAGCGUGAGGUUGGCUCUUGGUGUUGCUUUGCUGCAACUGUCAUUUGCCAUUGAUGAUGGUUCUUCUCUUCCUCCAAGGGAGAGGGAGAGAAUGCAGUCUGAGUGGG
ensembl:snoRNA U3 Small nucleolar RNA U3